rnacentral:rRNA from 1 species
UGUAAGCGUAUACCAAAGUUGUUGCAGUUAAAACGCUCGUAGUCGGAAUUUGGCAGUUCCGGAAGUGUGCACGUCGUGUGCGCACUUUGCGGGGACUGCUUUUGUGGUCUUGCGUAGGAUGAGGCACUUUCAUUAGUGAACGUCCUCACGCAACCACUCUUUACUGUGAGAAAAUCAGAGUGCUCAAAGCAGGCAUUUGCCGUGAAUGUAUUAGCAUGGAAUAAUAGAAUAGGACUCGGUUCUAUUUUGUUGGUUUGUUGGGACUGAGUAAUGAUUAAGAGGGACAGUUGGGGGCAUUUGUAUUCCGGCGCUAGAGGUGAAAUUCAUAGAUUGCCGGAAGACAAACUGCUGCGAAAGCGUCUGCCAAGGAUGUUUUCAUUGA